CAUACCUUUGCAUCUUUUGCAAGUGCACGGUAAGAGAUUCUCCAUGACCCAUCUUCGCGGAAAUCAUGUUAGUGAAAAUCUCGUACCUCUCUUGUCUCGCGUUUUGGUGGUACCUCUCCAAUAAGUCUUGAUGCAUCUCGUACGGGUACAUGUCCUCGUAGGACUUUUGGAAUUCGGAGUUCAUGGUGGCGAUCAUGAUGCAAUGUACCUUCGUUGCAUCUCGCUCAUGAGUUUCAAAGGCGGUGAUUUCGGCGGGAGUAGCAAUUUCGGGGUUGAUUUUCUCGAGCUUCUCAUCGAGGACAUACUCCUUAUCCUCAUAGCGAGCAAUGGUGCGAAUGUAUCUUAUCCAUUCGCUAAAGUUCGUUCCAUCGAAGGUGACCUUUUGGCAAAGGCUCAUCAACGUGAAAGAACUAGCAGCAACAUUGUUUGCGUUCGACAUCUAUAAUUAGAAAAGGACAAAGAUAGAUUAGAAUAUGAAUCCCUAAUUAUCACCCAAUAAGAAAAGUUAGGGCUAGGAUCCAACAAUGACAUUUACAUGUUAGAAAAGGGAUGCCGUAAUCUAACAUGCAUAUCAAUUGAAGGUAAGUGAAUGAUUCACCCAAUAAGAAAAGUUAGGGCUAGGAUCCAACAAUGACAUUUACAUGUUAGAAAAGGGAUGCCGUAAUCUAACAUGCAUAUCAAUUGAAGGUAAGUGAAUGAUGAUUCACUAAUUCUUCAUCACAAAAACCUAAACUAUUAGUCCUAAGUGUUUUUGAGAAUUCCUAGGUUCGGAUGAGAUUCAUUGAAACUAUUCAAUGGCAUGUUUAAAUCUCGAUAUGCCCCUCUUGUUUGUGACUGGGAUGCCGAGGAUCACAAAGCGGGUGUGAAUUACCAUGCAAAUUCACAUGGUGCCUUCAUUGUAACGAUCACCUAUUCGAUGUGCCGGUAAACCACACACGCUCCAUCGAACUAUGAUAAACAAUGAAUCACCCUUUGCCACCUUCGCUUAGAACCAAUUAGUGUGCCGGUAAACCAUACACGCUCCACUAACUUCUUAGCAAGGUGCAAAGUGUAAUUUCAUGGGAUUGCAUCAAUUCACUUUUCCUAAAGUAACUAAGAUUGGGAAAUUUUAAAAUAUGUGUAGUUACUUUAUAUUUCUUAUUAUACUUUUAAUGAGAGGAUGAGGUUGCCCUAUCCUACCCGUUCGGCUAACGACCCUCCACCAAUCAAGCAAGCGGUGGGUGUGAGUGUACACCCAUUAAGCGCCAUUUUAUAGGCCGCAACCUUAUACCCACCUUAUAGAUCGGCUUCGUGAAUGAGGCCUACUAACGGUAAGACUAGCAUUUAGUUAUACAUAUAUAUAUAUUAUACUAGUAAUAUCAUAUUUGUAUAGGGUUGUAUUUUAAACCUUUUAAAAUCUAGGGUUUUGAAAUUUAAGUUGUCUAAAUUAAAACUUUUAAUCAUAAAUAUAAAUUUCAAAACUUGAGGGCAAGUUUUAAACAUUUAAAACAUGGAGGAUCAAAUAACAAAUAAUUCCAAUUAACAAUUAAUAUCCUAAUUAUCUAUAUUUGAUUUAUUCAAGAUUUCUUUUAAGAUAAUUACCAAAAUAAUCAAAAUAAUUAAUUAAUUAUCAUAUAAGGAAAUUAAAUAUUUUAUUAGUUGAUAAAUACCUUUAACUAGAUCAAGAUAAUAGUCAUAUAUAUCAAAAAAUCGGAUUUAGAUUGAUCUAUUAUGAUUAAGGUAAGUUUCCAUAAGAUAAUUAUGAAAAAAUCCCGAAUCUGGCCAUUCCUGACGCCUGGACUCGCCGAGUGCACAAGGGGACUCGCCGAGUCAGGCCUACUCGCCGAGUCCACUUUGGGACUCGCCGAGUCCAUGACUCAGAAACCAAAAAUCGAAUUUUGCAGGUUUGUUUCAGUUAAUCAAGCAACAAUUUAAAGAAAACCAAGCUAGGCUCUGAUACCACUGAUGGGUUUUAGCCAUAAGAACUUUCCUAUGUGCGCAUGCAAAACCCUAAUGCUCGGAUCUAGGCUUUCAAAUAAACAUGCUUUGAAUCCAAGACUUCUAAUUACUAAUUAGGCUAAAUAACAACAUUGAAACAGAUCUAGAAUCAUACCUUUGAAUUCCUUGUUGACCUUGUUGUCUUGGAGCUUCUAGAGUCACAAAUGUCACUCCUCUAAUGGCUUACAAACACCAAUAGCAAGGAGGAUGAUUUAGGAGAGAGGAGAGGGGAGGAAUUUGACCAGAGGUUCCUUACUUUUGGUCAAGUGUCGAAUUCCAUCAGCCAUAGGGUCUAUUUAUACUUGUAGACUCCUUAAGGAUUACAGAUAAGUCCCUAUCAG
rnacentral:lncRNA from 1 species